GCAUAUCAAUAAGCGGAGGAAAAAGAAACCCAACAGGGAUUGCCCUUAGUAACGGCGAAGUGAAGCGGCAACAGCUCAAAUUUGAAAUCUGGCUCUCGGGCCCGAGUUGUAAUUUGUAGAGGAUGACUUUGAUGCGGUGCCUUCCGAGUUCCCUGGAACGGGACGCCAUAGAGGGUGAGAGCCCCGUCUGGUUGGAUGCCAAAUCUCUGUAAGUCUCCUUCGACGAGUCGAGUAGUUUGGGAAUGCUGCUCUAAAUGGGAGGUAUAUGUCUUCUAAAGCUAAAUACCGGCCAGAGACCGAUAGCGCACAAGUAGAGUGAUCGAAAGAUGAAAAGCACUUUGAAAAGAGAGUUAAAAAGUACGUGAAAUUGUUGAAAGGGAAGCGUUUAUGACCAGACUUGGGCUUGGUUAAUCAUCUGGGGUUCUCCCCAGUGCACUUUUCCAGUCCAGGCCAGCAUCAGUUUUCGCCGGGGGAUAAAGACUUCGGGAAUGUGGCUCCCCUCGGGGAGUGUUAUAGCCCGUUGUGUAAUACCCUGGCGGGGACUGAGGUUCGCGCUUCUGCAAGGAUGCUGGCGUAAUGGUCAUCAACGACCCGUCUUGAAACACGGACCAAGGAGUCGUCUUCGUAUGCGAGUGUUCGGGUGUCAAACCCCUACGCGUAAUGAAAGUGAACGCAGGUGAGAGCUUCGGCGCAUCAUCGACCGAUCCUGAUGUUCUCGGAUGGAUUUGAGUAAGAGCAUACGGGGCCGGACCCGAAAGAAGGUGAACUAUGCCUGUGUAGGGUGAAGCCAGAGGAAACUCUGGUGGAGGCUCGCAGCGGUUCUGACGUGCAAAUCGAUCGUCAAACAUGGGCAUGGGGGCGAAAGACUAAUCGAMCCUUCUAGUAGCUGGUUUCCGCCGAAG
rnacentral:rRNA from 1 species